GAUGAACGCUGGCGGCGUGCCUAAUACAUGCCAGUCGAGCGAACGGACGAGAAGCUUGCUUCUCUGAUGUUAGCGGCGGACGGGUGAGUAACACGUGGAUAACCUACCUAUAAGACUGGGAUAACUUCGGGAAACCGGAGCUAAUACCGGAUAAUAUUUUGAACCGCAUGGUUCAAAAGUGAAAGACGGUCUUGCUGUCACUUAUAGAUGGAUCCGCGCUGCAUUAGCUAGUUGGUAAGGUAACGGCUUACCAAGGCAACGAUGCAUAGCCGACCUGAGAGGGUGAUCGGCCACACUGGAACUGAGACACGGUCCAGACUCCUACGGGAGGCAGCAGUAGGGAAUCUUCCGCAAUGGGCGAAAGCCUGACGGAGCAACGCCGCGUGAGUGAUGAAGGCCUUCGGAUCGUAAAACUCUGUUAUUAGGGAAGAACAUAUGUGUAAGUAACUGUGCACAUCUUGACGGUACCUAAUCAGAAAGCCACGGCUAACUACGUG
rnacentral:rRNA from 1 species